rnacentral:lncRNA from 1 species
UUUUUUUUUUUUUUUUUCUUUUUUGAGACAGAGUCUUGCUCUGUCGCCCAGGCUGGAGUGCAGUGGUGCCAGCUCACUGCAACCUCCGCCUCCUGGGUUCAAGCGAUUCCCCUGCCUCAGCCUCCCGAGUAGCUGUGACUACAGGCAUGCGCCACCACGCCCAAAAAUUUUUGGUAUUUUUUAGUAGAGAUGAUAUUUCGCCCUGUUGGCCAGGAUGGUCUCAAUCUCUGACCUCUUGAUCUGCCCUGCCUUGGCCUCCCAAAGUGCUAGGAUUAUAGGCGUGAGCCACCGCACCAGGCCUGCCUUGCUUUUUUUUUUUUUUUUUUUAACAAUACCUUGGUUGAAUUUAAGGAUGGAAACUACACACACACACAGAAUUCUUACAUGCAUGAGAUAGCCAAGAUUACAACUAAUAUUUAAAUGCCAAGAGAACACUGACUGGUGCCACUCACACUCUUAAGGCCAGCACACUGAACUACAUCGAUUCCAGUAAGCAUCCCACGCUCUAUCCACUUCACCUGCAAUGUGCCAGAAUGCAUCAGAGAGCGAUGGAGAUGCUGGAUGAGGGUCGCCAGGUAUCAAGCCAGCCCCAAGAGUUCUGAGCUCCCAGCCCUGGGCCCCAAACCCUGAGCCCUGCAUUCACCCUCUCACCACCAGGAGGCGCUGCAGAGUGAAGAGGAGAAGGAAGCAAGACCAGAGGGGGGAUAGAACCACGGCUUUGAAAUACAUGCUGGUUAUUCAAAUCUCCUCCUCGCCACUGACCCUGCCUCCUUCCUAUGUACAGCCAACUAUCUGUGAAGAUCCUUUUCUUUUGUCCCCUGAAAGGUCACCAGUGACCCUUGGAGACCAGCCUGAGAUGCCAGGGACCAGGGUCCCAAGAUGCCACCAUCCCUGGCCCAGUGCUCCUGGCCAAGGUAGGCAGCAUCUCUGCAGUUCCUUAUCCCUCAUGGGAAAGGCUGUUCUCAAGGGAAACCAUCACCAGCUCUGCUGAGGGCAGUUCUGCCCUGAUGGGUCUCCUAGGUCUCAAGCAAGCAUCUUCAUUAUCUCUGACAGUGCUGAGUUGCGCCAGACUGAAACAAUACCUCCAAGGGGGAAAGUCACUUUAUUUUUAUUUUACUUGAGUUCACUUAUUUCUAAGGGACUUGAUGAUCUGGCUGCCCAUGCCUGCUUCCUGAACAUUCCUACGUUUGAGGCAAGACUUUACACACCUCCCCUCUGGGGAAGCCAUCUGCUCUGCAGAAGUGCCCUUGUCUUGGCAACAUUCUCUUCAAGGAUGCUAAUGCCUUAGGGCAUGAAUUCCUUGCUUUGGGGUACUAGAGAAGUACCAGAAGCUUGGUAUGGGCUGAGCUAUCCUGAUGGCAUUUUCAAAAGGAAAGGUACGUGAAGUUCAAGUACUUCCUGCUCAAUUUCAGGUAGAUAGUACGCUGUUUGUACUGCGAAUGGCAUAAGCAGGUCUGUCCUGCAGGAUGCUGGGAAGAUGACUGCAUUAACAUUUGUGGGAUAGAGAAGCCAAAUUCUCAAGUCUUCUGAUGAAGGCGACUCUGGUUUGUAUAAUAAAGUAUUGGCAAAAAUAGCCGAGUGCAGCAUGCAUGCUAGAGGUUCUGCACACACUGUCAUUUGGCAGUGUGCCAGACGACCAGUUAGCUCAUCGAGGAGAGCUUAGAAGAGGACCCUGCAGAGAACCACCAUUCUGGCUGAGGGACCAGCCUUUGUGAUCCCACCAGCACGCCUCCUAUUAUGAGGUCAUGUCUUGCUUAUCCUAAGACUGCUGGUUGGCAGAGGUCUUGAACCAUUAAGAGUGCAUGAGGUUAAUCUAAUUAUUUGCUCAUAGAUCUCUUUUAUGAGAGAA